CAAUAGCGUAUAUUAAAGUUGCUGCAGUUAAAAAGCUCGUAGUUGGAUUUCUGGUGGGAGCGAUCGGUCUGGCGCUUAGCGCGAGUACUUGCAUCGUCUCCGGCCAUCCUUGGGGAGAGUCUGUCUGGCAUUAAGUUGUCGGGCAGAGGAUCCUCAUCGUUUACUGUGAAAAAAUUAGAGUGUUCAAAGCAGGCUUAUGCCGUUGAAUAUAUUAGCAUGGAAUAAUAAGAUAGGACUUUGGUACUAUUUUGUUGGUUUGCGCACCAAAGUAAUGAUUAAUAGGGACAGUUGGGGGUAUUCGUAUUCCGUUGUCAGAGGUGAAAUUCUUGGAUUUACGGAAGACGAACUACUGCGAAAGCAUUUACCAAGGAUGUUUUCAUUAA
rnacentral:rRNA from 1 species